AUUGAACGCUGGCGGCAUGCCUUACACAUGCAAGUCGAACGGUAACAGGCCGCAAGGUGCUGACGAGUGGCGAACGGGUGAGUAAUGCAUCGGAACGUGCCCAGUCGUGGGGGAUAACUGCUCGAAAGAGCAGCUAAUACCGCAUACGACCUGAGGGUGAAAGCGGGGGACCGUAAGGCCUCGCGCGUUUGGAGCGGGCGAUGUCAGAUUAUCUAGUUGGUGGGGUAAAGGCCUACCAAGGAAACGAUCUGUAGUUGGUCUGAGAGGACGACCAGCCACACUGGGACUGAGACACGGCCCAGACUCCUACGGGAGGCAGCAGUGGGGAAUUUUGGACAAUGGGCGCAAGCCUGAUCCAGCAAUGCCGCGUGCAGGAAGAAGGCCUUCGGGUUGUAAACUGCUUUUGUCAGGGAAGAAGUCUUCUGGGCUAAUACCCCGGGAGGAUGACGGUACCUGAAGAAUAAGCACCGGCUAACUACGUGCCAGCCGCCGCCGUAACAC
rnacentral:rRNA from 1 species